rnacentral:rRNA from 1 species
CAGUAGCCGCGGUAAUACGAAGGGUGCAAGCGUUAAUCGGAAUUACUGGGCGUAAAGCGUGCGUAGGCGGUUUGUUAAGUCUGUUGUGAAAUCCCUGGGCUUAACUUGGGAAUGGCAAUCGAUACUGGCAAGCUAGAGUGUGUCAGAGGAUGGUGGAAUUCCAGGUGUAGCGGUGAAAUGCGUAGAGAUCUGGAGGAACAUCAAUGGCGAAGGCGGCCAUCUGGCAUAACACUGACGCUGAGGUACGAAAGCGUGGGGAGCAAACAGGAUUAGAUACCCCCGUAGUCCCUGUCUCUUAUAC